CCUUCGAUAGCUCAGUUGGUAGAGCGGAGGACUGUAGGUUGAUAAUGACAGGUAUCCUUAGGUCGCUGGUUCAAUUCCGGCUCGAAGGA
rnacentral:tRNA from 1 species